UGCCAGCAGCCGCGGUAAUACGUAAGUCGCAAGCGUUAUCCGGAAUUAUUGGGCGUAAAGCGUCCGUAGGCGGUUUUGGUAGUCUGUAGUUAAAUCCCAGGGCUCAACCCUGGAAUCGUUACGGAAACUCCAAAACUUGAGGUAUGCAGGGGCAGAUGGAAUUCUAGAAGUAGGGGUAAAAUCCGUAGAUCUCUAGAGGAACACCAAACGCGAAGGCAUUCUGCUGGGCAUUACCUGACGCUGAGGGACGAAAGCGUGGGGAGCAAACGGGAUUAGAUA
rnacentral:rRNA from 1 species